rnacentral:rRNA from 2 species
UAAUACAUGCAAGUCGUACGCACUGGCCCAACUGAUUGAUGGUGCUUGCACCUGAUUGACGAUGGAUCACCAGUGAGUGGCGGACGGGUGAGUAACACGUAGGUAACCUGCCCCGGAGCGGGGGAUAACAUUUGGAAACAGAUGCUAAUACCGCAUAACAACAAAAGCCACAUGGCUUUUGUUUGAAAGAUGGCUUUGGCUAUCACUCUGGGAUGGACCUGCGGUGCAUUAGCUAGUUGGUAAGGUAACGGCUUACCAAGGCGAUGAUGCAUAGCCGAGUUGAGAGACUGAUCGGCCACAAUGGAACUGAGACACGGUCCAUACUCCUACGGGAGGCAGCAGUAGGGAAUCUUCCACAAUGGGCGCAAGCCUGAUGGAGCAACACCGCGUGAGUGAAGAAGGGUUUCGGCUCGUAAAGCUCUGUUGUUGGAGAAGAACGUGCGUGAGAGUAACUGUUCACGCAGUGACGGUAUCCAACCAGAAAGUCACGGCUAACUACGUGCCAGCAGCCGCGGUAAUAC